rnacentral:rRNA from 1 species
UGGGGAAUAUUGCACAAUGGGCGAAAGCCUGAUGCAGCGACGCCGCGUGAGGGACGAAGGUCUUCGGAUUGUAAACCUCUUUCAGCAGGGACGAAGCGAAAGUGACUGUACCUGCAGAAGAAGCACCGGCUAACUACGUGCCAGCAGCCGCGGUAAUACGUAGGGUGCAAGCGUUGUCCGGAUUUAUUGGGCGUAAAGAGCUCGUAGGCGGUUCGUCACGUCGGAUGUGAAAACCUGGGGCUUAACCCCGGGCCUGCAUACGAUACGGGCGAACUAGAGUUCGGUAGGGNAGACUGGAAUUCCUGGUGUAGCGGUGAAAUGCGCAGAUAUCAGGAGGAACACCGGUGGCGAAGGCGGGUCUCUGGGCCGAUACUGACGCUGAGGAGCGAAAGCGUGGGGAGCAAACA